UAUAUUAGAAGAUCAAAGACCUUUCUUCGCCGCAAGGCAUACCAGCAGGAGUACUAGUUUUUGCGGGGAAAUCCCGGAUUCAGCAACAGGAUGAACCCAGCGAAAGACACUGCUGAAAGCCCAAUCUUUUACGCACCCGAUUGCAGCGCUGCUUGGCACAGUUUACGGCACUUGUGUUACUGACUAACUAAGAAGAGGGGGAGCCAUGCUGCUGUAGAGCCAGUGGGGAGGUGGUUUUGGAUCUAGUAUAAAAAGGGCUCGAAAAUCAGCCAAUAUUAUCACAACUUUUUGAACAGUUGAACUCGUUUAGCCUUCCUUACAGAAAAAAAUGGCCAAAUCGCUUCUGAUGAUUUUGAUGGUGUCUUUGGUGCUGCUGGCAAUUGUCAACGAGUUCGGUGGACUCGUCGAGGGAUGUAACUGCUGUGAAAAUGGCGAUUUAUCCCAAGGCAACUGUUGUCGUUGGCGUUGCGAUGGUGGAGGAUGUGGCUGCAGACCUUUCUUUGCUCUUCACUGCGGUGCACCCGACAGGUGUGGUGCAGAAUCACCCUAACCGAAAUAGUAGUUCAUCACUUGUUUUACAUGCAACCGAACUGGACCGAAUCUGUUAUCCGACCGAGAUUAUCCGAAACAACUGCAGAAUUUAAUCAAAAAAUGGGGAA